UUAUACUCACCCCACUAAUCACGUUUUCUCCUUGUUCUUUCUUCAACAAAAUUCAUUCCAGAUUUCCACCAUUAAUUCGUUCCAGAUUUCCUCAAAAUUGAGAUUCUAAUCACACGAUUCUCAUCAAUAAUCCAGUAUGAAUAAUUUUCCAAUGAUAUUCACCUCAUUUUCAUCCAAAUCCGAUGCUUAUAUUGGAGAAUUCCACCAUUAAUUUUCGCCAACUUAGUCACGAGAAUCUCAACUGUUGAUAAUUGGGUCUCGCUUUUUCAAUCCAAAUCUGUUUCAGCAUUGAUCGAAGACGUUUCAACUAUAUAAUUGUCGUCUGAUUUCGAAUGGCAAACAACAUGGCAUGUGAUUCGAUUCUCAAUUUUGAUUUGGAUGUUUUUCCAGAAGCUGGCAUUGAAGAGCUUGGGAAGAGUCUUUUGGCGAAAAACUCUGAUAUAUCUUCAGACACCAUCACCAAAGGUUGUGCAAGUGAUGUUAAGAUUCGUUUGGUGUCCGUAGACGAGAAGGCCAUGAUAUUGAGCAGCAAACCAUUGCGCCGGUGUAAAAAAUGUGGUUAACUGGGUCACUAUGACUCUAGGAAUUGUGGCAGACAAAAGGAUAAAAUAGAAGAGCUAGUUCAUUUAAUCGCAUUUGUGUUUUACCUUUCGAGAUUAUUGUUCUGCUUUAGUCCAGGAAUAUUGUUGUUUUAGUCUAAUAAUAUUGUUGUUCAGUGAGAUUGUUUUCUUAGUCUAUGAAUAUUGCCUUGAUAACGCUUUGUAUUUGCGGUUCUAUAUUACUAUACUUUCACUGUUUAUGAUACAAUAUCAUUGGUUACCA